GACUGUGUUACACAGAGCAGUAGUAGGCAGGUUAACACAAGACACCUCUGUGAGAGGUCAGCGCCGGACUCCGUCACCAUAGGAAGUCUCGGCUCUCAGAGAGGGCUGGCUGCAUCUGAUUAGCGAGGGCUCCGGAAGGGCAGCCGCCAACAACGGGCGUGGUUCUACGGCGCAAGCUGCCAGUGUCUGCUUCUCACCAGGCCAUGUGUGAAUAUGGAUUUCAGCCCUGCCACAUAGGCUCUCUGCUCACUGAGUGAAGAGACUAUUCUGCCCACAUUUCAAGACUUAAAACCAGAACUUAUUUGAAGUUUCCAGUCUAUGUCAAAAAAAGGAUUCUGAACACCUCAGAAUUUUGACUCUUUACAGUCAUUUUGGAGCUUAACCUUCACCCGGAUCCCUCUAUGACAUUCUUCACAACAGCAUUUUUAAGAAGAGAAAUCAAAAUAGGGCAAGAAAAUUUGGAAUAUGUUUCAGAAAGGGGAGCAAAGCAAAAAAUUGAAGGAGCUAAAGAUUUCUCUCUUAUUCAUGACUCCAAAAUGCCAGAAUGUUAUCACCAGAGCACUGGACAUUUCCCACCAUCUGUAGAUUAUGGUCUCAGGCCACUGACCGUUAAAUGUAGCCAAGUCUUUUUGUUCAGAAAGAUGGUCAUCUGAAACGAUGAGGAUCAACAUCUAGAAGGCACACAUGAAGUUGACUGAGGCCAGGAGAUGUGAAGCAUUUCAAUCAAAGCUAUCAUUCCACAAGAGUAAAAAUUUGUUCCAUUUAUUAGCAAUGAACAUGUGGCUUAUCACUUGACUCAUUAGCACACUUCUGUGAAUACAGCAAGCUUGUAAUUUCCCAGAAUUCCUUUCACCUCUCCCUCUCUCCCUGGCAGAAAGUCACUGUGGUGACAUCUGUUUCUUGUAGAGCUAUCAAGAACGAUAAGCAGCUUCUUGCAUUG